GUGAAAGUUUGCGUCACCUGAUUGAAUAGUUAAGUAGCAAACAAUCAAACGCCUCUGUAAGGAUUCUACGAAACUCUGAACGGAGACGUCGCUGGAAAAGAAACAUUGAAAUGAAUUGUUAACCACUUGCCAUACUACAAACAACAAAGUCAACGACAUCGUUUGAAAGACGUAACGUUAGUUUUCAAUUGGCAGUAACGUCAGCAGUAACGUUAGCUAGCUAGUUUUCCAGUGUUGCUAGCUAAUGAUGUAACAUGCUACCUGUUAAGCUAUCUGCGAUACUGUCAACAAACAAACAAAAUGUUUGUCAAAGGAAAAGACUUCUGUCAACAAACAAAAUGACUGUCAAAGCAGCAAGUUGCAGUUGGACAUCUCCAUGAAAGAAAGUGGACAACAAAUGGCAAACAUCACAUGGCGGCUUACACUGAAGUUGACAACAGAGACACACAACACAACGGUGGAGUUGGAUGGAUGAAUGGGCCGACAGUGAUAUUGACAAGCUAACCACUGCUCACGUGAAUGUGUGUGUUGCUCUAAAACACGGAAGCAAGGGAAAGAAAUCAAAUGAUCACGUGUUAACAGUACUAGAUAUGGACAUUUCUUCAAUUUGGUAAACUAUGGCAAGAAGAAAUCAGCCCCAGCAGCACAGCGUUUUGGGGAAUAGUUGGGAGCGAUCGGUCAUUGAUCUGGAGUGGAAAAGAAACCUCACGUGGAGCUUAUCUGAUGCGUCGCCAUCCAUCUACAGACACACUGAAUGGACUAACUCAGAAACUGUGCAUACAAAUACUUUGGUAACUUUUCUCUGCCACAGGAAAAUAUCUUCCCUUUAAAUCGCAUGUCCUGUGUUUUCUUUUGACAGUCGACCAAAUUGCUACAUUUUACAUUUGGUUAAAGCAAUAAAGAGUAAGCAGUUCUAACGGUGACACACAGCUGCCGGCUACGCGACGCAAUAGCCACAGACUGUGAACGACAUUAGCUUUCCUGCUUAAGUCUCCUCCUUAUCCAACUUCCUAACAUGAACUCGCAUCUUGUCCUGUACAUCAGCUUGUUGAACAAGCCACCAAACAGACUAGGGCUUCAGCUAACGAUUAUUGUCAUUGUCGAUUAAUCGAUUAGCUGUUUGGUCAAUAAAAUGUCAGAAAACUGCAUUUAAAAAAAAAGGCAAUCGGUAUUUCCCAAAGCCCGAGACGACGUCCUUAAAUGUCUUGUUUUGUCCACAUUUCAAAGAAAUUCAGUUUACUGUCACAGAGGAGUGACGAAACUAGAAAAU